CUUGGGAAGAACAUGCACUUGUAGGAAGCACUGAGCAGAACACCAAUUUUUGUAGAUUUUACCAUAUUUUGUGUACUUAAUGGCAUAUGAUGCGACUACAUAGAUGGAUAAGGAGACACUAUUUUUUCUGGUUUGGCAUGAUUAGAAAAAUGUGUGAUGACCUAGUGUAGAAGGGAAAAGAAAUCCAAAACUGCCUUGAUUUCCUUUUGUGCUGUGAGCAUUUUACAAUCAAUUGCAAGCCUCCACAUACACUUUUGCCCUGAUGCCUGAGCAGGUGUCUUUUGGAUUAAAUCUGGCAGAUUCACAGAACAUCUGGUGCGUAUUCACAGAACAUCUCAUUAACAUUGAGGCAGCUUAUUGAAUGGAAGAAGGAAGAGUGGUGUUUUCCCUAAGAUGUUUUUAAGAGGAACACCUACAGACUCAAGUUCUGUAGGAUAUUUUUUUUUCUUAAAAUCUUUCAUUGGUUGUUGUUUUUUUUCUCCAAAUGGAGUUACUGCAUGUAGAAAAGAGCUGCAAUAGAAAAACUGUGUUUUACCUCUAAAUGGUCAUACUAUCUGCAAAGUGGAAACUUAUGCUGUUUGCUUACGUAUCUCACAUGCAAAACUACUUAACUAGGAACUUGUCUGGUUCUACAGAGAAAUGAAGGUUACAAAUAUUUUUGUCUUGCCUGCAGUGUCUGAGAGAGGUCAAAGUACAGAAAUUCUUCAUUAUGCCCCGAGAGAUGCUGCAAUAGAGAGAGCAUCAUUCAGUUGGCAUUUAUCUCAGUAUGUAAUUGCUAUUGCCAAAAUAUGUCCCUUGCUGUUGUGCACUGCAGAACAUGUACUGGGAAGAGGCACCUCUGAAACAGAGCAAAUUGCAAGUGUGAAUUAUCAACAGCAGGAAAGAACAGAGGCAGCAGUUUGCAGAAGUAACAACUCUCCCUUUUGCUCCCUCCCUAACUCCUGACCUGUGUGUUUUAAAAUCAAAUGAAGAAUGCUAUUGUUUGUGACUGUGAUGCUAACAUUAAAGAGUGAACCAAUGGUAGAGUUCUCAUGUUUGCAGACAGCCCGAAGCUUUGGCAUUUGGAAGCAAGUUUUUUUCAGUCUUCUCUCCAGGAUGAGGAUGGUGAAAACUCACAGUGAUACACAGCAUUAUUAGCUUAGCUAUGCAAAUACCAGCGAAAGCUCUUAGGAAAGACAAAGAAAUGUCAAGAUUAUUAAUAGUGUUGCACUGACUCCCAAGACUUAGUGAAGCUUAAGAGGUUGCCAUCACAUUCCUAGUUUUUCCUGACUCCUGCUUCCUCCGCCCUGGUGCUGUGUGCAUGCCCAAUGCAGUUGCCACAGCAGUCUGCACUUUGCUCACAUGCAAUCCCUCUACAGUAUUUCUUCAGACUUCCUUCAACUUGCACCAUUUAAGAUGAGCUGUGAGGAUAACAUCUCCCUUGGAAAGAUAACACCUCCUGUGGAAGGAUACCUGGGCUACUUUCUUCUCUUCUGGUACAGAAAUCACUGGUUUGCUAGUGGCAAUGUGUUUAUCCAGCUAAAAAUAGCCAUAUUAAUGCCCUUUGAGAGACUUCUCUGGGAAGAAGUCUAAGUUUUGUCAAGGGCUUGCCAGCACAGGAAGUUUGUGCCAUCAAAACACUCAGGCAAGCAAAGCACUACAAUGGCAGGCUGCUGGGACUCUCCAUGUCCUUCAGGAAUUCAAGGCAUUUCUUAAUAUUUCAAGGCACUCUGGAAUCAAAUUCAAUAGGUUUUGCCAAAUAGAAUACAGACAGCAUUCAAAACUGUAAUGACAUAGCCUGAUUGCUGAAGGGCAGAGGAGGAAAAAGAUGCAGUGCCUGAGGUGAAGGGAACCUUUCUGUCUUUCAUCGAUGGGAUUUAGGCUUCAUUAAUCAGAGAGGGACCUUUGGGGCAUCUGUUUGGCACAGGUCCCCUGGAAAGUUAAAAAUUUCCCAAGUCAAAAUGGGUGGAAAGCAGCUGAAUUGACUUUUUUUUCUGACUAUAUUACACCUUGUCUAUGAGGUAUAUAAUGGUAAUAGCAUCACCAUGGACAUGGGAAGUGGGGGAAAUAUUUCUACAGGAGUCUUCCUCUUCUCAGUCCCAAAGGGUGUUCUUGUGAAGUGCACAGGGGUGAGACCAUGUGAUUACUUUUCUCCUUUCUUGUUCCUGGAAAGAUUUUAAGUGUACUAGUUCUGGGAUUAUUGGUGUUCUCACAUUUUAUCAAGCUACAAUAUGUUGAAAUAGGAUUAAACUGUUUAUACAGAUACAGGAGUUUGCUGUGUACACAGCUGUGCAAAGUGAAAUUUUGCCAGGCAUGUUAAGCCAUUUAAUAUUACAAAAAAAUUUCAGAGGGUGCAGGGGACUUCUGAUUAAGCUAACAGUAGUUGGGUUUUCAAACAUGUAUUUUAUGUUGCAAAACAUUUCAAAAAUGUAUUUACAAUGUGCUUUCGCAAAUACCUGGGUCUGAUGGUCUCAUGCUUUUCAGCCAACUUUCUUUAUUGUUAAACUGUUGGAAGCUCACAAAUCAGAGUGGUUUUGGGAUAGUGUAUUUUAGAGAAUCACAGCCCAUCCAACCAGACAGAUAUCUAAGCAUGAAUUCCCGCUCAACUUCUUCCUGUGAGUAGCUUCACUGCUUUCAAGGAGAUUUGAGAUAUGCUUCAUCUGUGACUGUCAGCCAAAUGCUAAGCAUGCAUAAGACACUGCAUUUUUUCUAGCUGCUGGUGCUGUUAGUCUUUCACAGGAUCAUCCAGCUCAGGAUGUCUCUUAUACAACCUCCAUCUGAAAGCAUGGCCAACUAUGAAUCCAAGUCAAGUUGCCUCAGUACUUUAUCCUGUUAGGUCUUGAAAAUCUUAAUGGUGUUUCUCAUAGAAUCAUCUAGCUUUUCCGCUGCUUGUUUGGAGGAAAAGAAUUCUGUUUACAUGUCAGUGUAUGGGGUAUUUCUGCUUUUUGUCUCGGGUGGCUACAUGCAGCCUCUGUAAAGUAAGCUCCGUGAACAUAUCAUCUGUAAAUACUAUACAUUGUUUGAAUAGAGAAUUGAGAGAAUAUAAUCAUGGAAUAGAAUGGGUUGGGCUGGAAGGGACCUUAAAGAUCAUCUAGUUCCAAACUCCUUGCCAUGGGCAGGGAUGCCACUCCCUAGAUCAUGUUGUCCAGACCACAUCAUCUAUUUAGAUUUGUGCCUUUUGUUCUCCUAAUAUUAAUUUAAUAGAUCAGCAAACUGCAGGUUUUCUUCCUCCACAUUUUCCAGUUGUCCAUAGUGGUCUCUUUUCUGUUUUAUGCUUCUCUGUUGCUGGCUGUUCUUCAGCCACUAGCUGUAUUCCAGGUACCCUUGUCCUCACCUCUCUGAUUCUACAUUUCUCCCAGCAUCUUCUAGUCCCUGUUUCUAAACUUCUGUGUAAUUUUUCUAUCUGGAUAGACAAGUGUGUAUAUAAUUAUGCAGAACAGCAAAGUUAACAGAAAAAUACGAUGACAAAGUCAAGCAAUUAAAAGUUGAGUAAGGACUGGCAGCAGUCUCAUUCUGUAUUCCCACAUGCACAUGGCUGAUCAAGCUGCUGGUAAUUAUAUGAUCAAGUUAUUUUAUUCCCAAAACCCUUCCUUGUUCCUUGGACAGGAUGUGAUUCUGGGUGUGAGUCAGGGCUGUGCAUUGAAGGAAGCUGUUUGCUGAGAGGAGCUGAGACAUUUCUACCAAAAGGGCCCAACAAUUGCAGGAAAAGCAAAUGGAUGGCUGUGUGUUUAAGGAGACUAAUCCCUGCCCUGGUCACUUGGAAGACUCUGGUCCAGGAUUUUGGUGAUGCAAAGCAAGUGACUUCCACUUGAAUUCUCAAAGGCAGUGACAGCAGGCAUUUCACACUUCCAGGUGCUUACCUGCUUGAUACCUGGUGUUGGAAAUUCUCUCUUCACAGAUAGAAUAGAAGUAAAUAGGAAAGAUUGGUUUUGAAUGUAUCAAGAAAUAUGUUUUUUGUUAAAAAAUUUUUGUAUUCUCAAAAAGUCGUCUUCCUCACAUUUCAAAUAUGAAAUUAAAAGCUUAAAAGAAAGUGCUGCACAGCUAGUUUAAGACAGCAUUAGGAAUGUUUCUCAAGCUUUAAAUUUAAAGAAGACCACAGUCAGAUAUGAUAGGCUAAUGCAAAUGAUAGGUUCUUAUUAAUUUUCAUUUUGUUUGGCUUGGGUCUUUUUAUGUUUUGUGGGUGACAAGCUGAGGUGAGGACCAGAUGUGAGCAUGGAUAUCGAUGAUUCUUAAGUUCCCAUCUUUUUGGUGUAAUUUAUUACAUAAAUCUGUUACUCAUUUAGUAUUUACUAACACUUCAACUAAUUUUGGAGUUGAGUGUAAGGAGAAAUAAGCCAAUAUAGAUACAUAUAUAGACCCUUUGUCUACUCCAGAGCUUGAACUGUCUGCCAUGGACCUCCAUCCUCCACUCACAACCCUUGAGUGCCCCAUGUAACCUCCAGCCACGGAAUGUGAAGCAUGACCUUUUCAGGACAGAGCCCCUCCACUACGUGAGCGUACGUGCUCAGCCCCUGUAGUGGGUGUGUGGGGUAAUCUGACAAUGCAGGGCAACUUGCUGGUGGGAAGCACCUCGCUCAGAUACUGCCCCAUGUCCUUGCUCACAUGGAACUGGGUGGUGUAUUUUGAUAGGAAGUGUGCGAUAUACAUUCAGCUUUCACCAGGGAUGGAUGAAUAAGAAACAAAUGUAUCAGCUGCUGCGUGUCUGGGAAAGGCAGUGCUUUUUUAUUGACUCUUGCUUCUGCAGUCUGACGACUUGUACGCUGAAGUGUGAUUUAACCAGCGCUGGUGUGAGAUGAGUCAGAGAGGAUUACACAUAUGUUGCAUGACUUCCUUACAAAAAAGCUUUCACCAGCUGGAGUACAACAUAAAGCCUGUCAUUUCAGGACAGAAAUUUCAAGCAUGCAAGAAACAGGUGUCCCCACAAAAUGCUGGACCCUUCAGGAAAGGCUGCUCUUUAAAUAUACAAGUGAAUGCAUUUGUUUUGGUGGCAGGUUGCUAAGCAACCUGCACUGCGCCAAGAAAACACAAUCUCAGCAGUGCUUCUCAGUACAGUUGGCAUCUUUGGCGUUGAAUCACCAUACCAUGAAUUAGCACUGACAGUUGCUGCACGGCCUUGUCCACAGCAAAAUACUGGGGGCAGACACCCAGCUACACCAGUGAUUUCAAGUACAAAUUAAAAAGCAGGUAUGCUGCUUAGAGUAAAACAGGGGUUGGUGUUUAAAUCUUAUACAGUACUGCCAGUUCUUCUAGGUAGUAUGAAAGUGGAUUAGUAGUUACAAAAGUCCAUAAUGAAAUGUGGUGCUUUGAGCAUAAAGAUUACUCUUACCUGAACGCUGUCAAAGAAAGAAAAAAUUGGGGGCAACUAAAUAGGCUGAAAGAAUGUUGGAGAGUGAAGAAGGGACAAGAUCUUUUAGAGGUUGGGUGUGUGUGAAAUACAGUAGUGCAUACUUCUUGACUGAAACCCAAACAAACUACGUGGCUCCACCCAGUUGUUCCUCAGAACACUUGUCAUCCUCACCUGUCAUGCCUAACCAUGGCAGUCAGUCACGUGAAAUUUAGUUUAGUGAAGCAAACAAGUGGGUUGUUUGUCAUUGAGAAUAGACAUCUUUUUUCAGCUCUUGUUUGGCUUUAUGUGGCACAUCCCCUAAAAUAAAAAUCUCCAAAGCUUCUGCCCUAGACAUUAGAGAGGUCUGUCUGUAGAUUGGGACAGAGGAUAUAGUUACAGCUUGCCUAUAUCUUACCAACACCUUUAUGAUCAGUGAAACUUGUAGCUAGCUAAUCUAUAGUGUAGCUUAGUGCCAGACCACAGGAGGAGACACAGAAACUUUUUGCUGUCCACAGAGGAGCCACCUUCUUGGGAAACCAGCAGCUACAGAGUGCCCUGGCAUGCUGUAAUGCAGACCGGGGCAUGGCCUUACUUAUGUUGCUACAAAACCAGUCAAUGCUUCUAAAAAUCAAAGUAAUGAGAAGUGUGAAGUGUGUGAAAUACAAAUUUCUAGCUCUCCUUUGCUGAUGGGAAUGAGCUACCUCAGGGUCUGAUCUUGUUUGAGGCUAUAUGAGAGAUGGAGGGAGGGAGUAAACUAUAACACUGAAAAUUAUCCUAGGAAACCAGUUGACAAAGCAUUACACAGACAGUAAAUAGCACUUACAGGAAAAUAAACCGGCAUGAGUGGGAAAUCUGUGUGUUGGGACUGAUGGUAUGCCUAGUCAUGGCCUCAUGGUUUUCUUUUGUAACAGGAGGAGUAUGUAAUCAUUCACGCUGAAUUUACUAUUUCACUUCCUCUAUGUCACCACUUCAGUGUUGCAGUAGCAUUGUAGCAUGGAUGCAUGUACUGAAAUGGAGUUUGCUCAAGCAUGGAAACAUUGAAAUGGGAAAGAUUUACUUGAUGCUCUCUGCUCCCUGUGGACAAUGGCAAGACAUGAGUCCCCUGUGAAGUGUUUAACUGAUGUGAAAUGAGUGUGAUGCUAAUCCUGUCCAAAGGCUUGUGAGGAAGCAAUGCCAGUUUCAUUUCCAAAGAAAUGUUUCAUUUUAAAAGGAGUUUAAAAUCAGAUAUUAACUGGAAAUGACACAGUAGUUUUAUAAGAAGAAUCCAGAAGGAUGAAUUUGUUAGAUGGCUGUUUACCUUGUGUUCACUCCAUCUCAAUGUUGUUUUAAGACCAGUUCCUAAAAUGUAUUUGUUACUGCUCACCUUGUCUUCUAGCACCACAGUGACAACUUGAUGAGAAGGACUAACAUUUUUGGGAUGAUACAAGGGAUCAAUGGUUGUUAUGAACUUCUUCUGACAGUGCAGCUGCUUGAUUAUGUCACCUGCCUCUCCCUCCUACCAUGAUUAUAUUUAUAUGAGCUCUCUGGUUUAUGGCUCUAUACAUUUGUUAAUACCAAAUAUCUUAAUAUUGCCAACAGCCCACUUGACUCUAAUCUCUGUAGGUUGUGCUGCAGAUCAUUUGUCUGGUCAUGACAAUCGAUACUCAUCCUCAGGAGAAGAGAAAUGCAACUAACUGCAAAAAAUACAGAACACGAGAGGUUUUAUCUUUUCCCCCUUCUCUUUUCCCUGUCUCUCUCCCCUUUUUAAAUUUUCUUUAAAAGGGUUUGGGAGCAAGGACUCAUCAUGGGUAGGGAAGAAGCAGACACCCCCCCCUUCGCCCCCCCUUUUGCUCUGGGACAGGCACACACUGCUUAUAACAUGACAUGUAAAGGAAACUUAUGUCCCAGGCUUUCGAGCACUACAGACUGCUGGCCGAGCAGUGGCAGUGUCUGAAGUGGCUUGAUGUGAGUUCUGGAUGCCUCCUGCCUGCCACCUGCUCAGCAGACAGGUCUGGUGGACCAGACUGCUCAGCUGGGGCUGUUUUGAGGAAGUUUGUUUAUUUUGGGGAGAUGUUGAUGGAAAGAUCUGCUGGUGUGCUCCUCUGGCAACUGACCUGCAGCGGGAGAUGCCAAGUGGCAGCAGGAUCACCACGUAUGUGUCCCCUCUAGUGCCUGCUGAAGUGGUUGGGGAGAAUUCAGAGCCCCUCCACCACCAGAUAAUAAAGAGGGAUGAAGAGGGACUCUCUGUAGCAGCAGCAGCAGCUCAGCUGGGAGGAUUUGGCCAGGCAAUGUGCAAUUGGAUACUGGCAGCACUUGUGCAAUUCAUGGUCUCUCAACUCUAGAGGCAAAGGUGGUCCCAGCUGCCCUCCUGGACACUUCUCAAAGGGCUGUAAUGUGAGAGCUGAUUUAUAUGACAUGGAGUCUGAGGCCCUGGGAGGGGACCACCCACCUUCUGAAAAUAUAAUGUAUCUGUAUCUUUACUGGAAUACCUGAGAGGCAAAGUGGCUAUCUUGAUAGCAUCAUGAUCCAUCAGCUUUGAAGAAGUUACUCAAGUCUAUUAAUUUCAAAUUCACCCAGUUAUUUUUCAUGUUUCAGUUUCUGCAUCCCCAGGUUAGAAAAGUGAAGCACUCAGGAGGCAGCAGUGGGAUCUCAGGUUGUUCAAAAGCUGUGGAAGGAGAGCCUCAGACAUGGCAGGCUGGGCAAAGGAAAAAAGGGAUCCUUGAGAAUGAUAAACUGAAUUGAUGCCUUGAAAAAACUCAAAUAUAUUAGCCAUUAGAAAAAUUCUAGUGUUCACUUUUCUUACUCUUAAUGCUAUUAUUUGAUUAACUGUGCUAAGGGUCAAUAAUCCUUGGUAUCAUCGUUCUUCAUAAAUGAAUAAAGAAAUAAAACAGCUAACUUUUAAAAUAAAUAUGAGUCAAGGUUCAUUUGCUGAAGGAUCCAAAAUAGUAUCUUUUGAAUUUGACAUGAUCUUUUCUUCAUGGUUCUUUGCAAAUCUGUUUGCAUUUCUUUAAUAGAAGUGUUCGUUAGAUAGUCUUGCAAGGAAUAAUGCUGACAACAAAAUGAGAAAAUAUUUUGUUACCUUCAGCAUGUAUAAGCUUCCCUCUAAAGAAAAAAUCUUGCCAUUAACACACAUUUGGUGUUCUGCUAAGUGUAGCAAAGGAGCAAAGAUUAGUGAGUGAAAUAUUAAAAGGGCUUAGGAGCACACCCAAAGCUGUGUGGCUUUAAUAGUUUAUGUAGAGGUGCUGAACGGUGUGGAUUGUUACACCCAGGCAAAAUACAACAAAAUAUUCAACUGCUGCAGAUCCCCACCAUUUUCAAGUCUGUGCCUUCUCCUCCUUGUGCGAGCUCUCCAGUUGUCUUCCUGCACCACAGGAGGAUGAACCAGCAAACAUUAGAAUCUGACAGGGGAAAGGGAGGAAAGGGCCUAUGUGCUAUUAUUUCAGCCUUCCACAACACACAGACCUGGAAUGAGUGCUGCCAAUUUGGAUUCAUACUAACCAAGUGCAAACAAAGCAAACUUCCUGAGAGCAGUGAAGGACGCUGAUGUCUGCAAGGACACCAGGCACUGUGUGGCAGCUUCACCUUACCUGCACAGACUUCCCCACUGAAGCGAAAAUUUUACCCCCUAGUUCCAUUUCAACCUGCAAGAAUUGAGAUUUCCCAAGCCAUUAGCCAAUUGCAUCAUGGCUAGGAGCAGUGGUGGUUUAAUCUAUUAUUUAACAUCUAUUUUCUAAAUACAAUGUUGCUCAG